rnacentral:rRNA from 1 species
AACCUUUCCCCCUCUAGCACCAAAUCAGCCUAUAUACCGCCGUCGCCAGCUCGCCUAAUGAUAGACAACAAAGCAAGCAAAAUAGUCCCACACACUAAUACGUCAGGUCAAGGUGUAGCUAAUGAGGGGGCUAAAAGAUGGGCUACAUUUUCUUACUACUAGAAAACUACCACAGGCUAUGUGAAACCUACGCCACCCGGCGGAUUUAGCAGUAAAUCCCGGCAAGACAUGCCUAAUUGAAACCUGCUCUGGGACGCGUACACACCGCCCGUCACCCUCUUCGACCAACCCGAACCCCUAUUAACAUAUAAACUUUCCCCACCCCUAGACGAGGUAAGUCGUAACAUGGUAAGCCUACCGGAAGGUGGGCUUGGCACACCAC